rnacentral:rRNA from 1 species
GACGAACGCUGGCGGCGUGCCUAAUGCAUGCAAGUCGAACGCUUUUUCUUUCACCGGAGCUUGCUCCACCGAAAGAAAAAGAGUGGCGAACGGGUGAGUAACACGUGGGUAACCUGCCCAUCAGAAGGGGAUAACACUUGGAAACAGGUGCUAAUACCGUAUAACACUAUUUUCCGCAUGGAAGAAAGUUGAAAGGCGCUUUUGCGUCCCUGAUGGCUGGACCCGGGGUGCAUUAGCUAGUUGGUGAGGUAACGGCUCACCAAGGCAACGAUGCAUAGCCGACCUGAGAGGGUGAUCGGCCACACUGGGACUGAGACACGGCCCAGACUCCUACGGGAGGUAGCAGUAGGGAAUCUUCGGCAAUGGACGAAAGUCUGACCGAGCAACGCCGCGUGAGUGAAGAAGGUUUUCGGAUCGUAAAACUCUGUUGUUAGAGAAGAACAAGGAUGAGAGUAAAACGUUCAUCCCUUGACGGUAUCUAACCAGAAAGCCACGGCUAACUACGUGCCAGCCGCCGCCGUAA